UACGUAGGGUGCAAGCGUUGUCCGGAAUUAUUGGGCGUAAAGAGCUCGUAGGCGGUUUGUCGCGUCUGCUGUGAAAACUCGGGGCUUAACUCCGGGCCUGCAGUGGGUACGGGCAGACUAGAGUGCGGUAGGGGAGACUGGAAUUCCUGGUGUAGCGGUGAAAUGCGCAGAUAUCAGGAGGAGCACCGGUGGCGAAGGCGGGUCUCUGGGCCGUAACUGACGCUGAGGAGCGAAAGCGUGGGGAGCAAACAGG
rnacentral:rRNA from 1 species